AGUGGCUGACCAGGACAGACAAUCAGUACGCUGCACUGUGAGCCCCCAAUAGACUCAGGAAUCCCAAGUGGCCGGCUCAAACAUUUGUGUCUAAUAUACAGCUGCAUCUGUGGUUCGACAUCAUCUUACGUGGCGAAGGAGUCGUACAGACAACCCACCUGUCAAAACUGAUAAAUGAAUUUGGAGUCCAAGCCUGCCCUCCUAGUUGCCUCA
rnacentral:lncRNA from 1 species